CUGGCACUUACAGCCAUGCCACUCUCAAAGUUGCUUAGAUCACCUUUCUUUCCCAUUCUGACAUUCAGUUUAGAGUUCAGGAGAUUGGCUAGACCUGGAUGACACCCCUAAAUGCAUUGAAGCAGCUGCCAUGUGAUUGGUUGAUUAGAUAAUUGCAUUAAUGAGAAAUCUUACAGGUAUUCCUAAUAAUCCUUUAGGUGAGUGUAUUAUUCGCCAACAAUUGGUUAAUGUUUAAGGUUUACCACAUUCUUGAUUGUAGACUGAAAUACAGCGGGGUGGAAAAGAUGACAAAUUCUUUGUGUGCAGACAUUUAACUUGAAUCCAGUUAUGAUGACCACCCAUUCAUUGACCAAUCAUUACCAAGCAAAGAACCCAGGAUAAAAUCAGAAUUUUAAGAUCUUGUAAGGAAAGACUUUGCUUCUUCAAAUAAUAUUGCAUAAAUACUGUUACUAUUUUAGUGUUAUGUUUAGGCCUGGGUAUCGUUUCUAAAAUGUCCAUUACCGUGACUCCAAUACAGUGGCGUAGGCAGAAAUAGUAUUUUGGGCAGGCCAGUACAAAAGUGAGUGGGCCAUUUUUAAAAAGAUGCAAAAGUAGCAAAAAGCACAAACUAAAAAAAAACUGUUUACCUUUCAACACACUGCAUUACAACGGCAAUAGCAGUACUGUCUACAACAUGCUCAACCAACAAAGCUACAACAGUAUAGACAAAAACCUGUCGAUUUUAACCUAUUCAGGCAAAAAUAUAUUUGCACCGGCAGAACCAGCAGCAUUGGCUCUGCACAGCACGGUUAUAAAUUAACCAUUUUAUUGCACAAAGUGGCUUCUUGAAUUUCCCCUUGGGGAUCAAUAAAGUAUCUAUCUAUUAACUAAACAUGAACCCAAACAGCAGAGAAGGCGUUUACAUACUGCAUGACAUAGAAUAGCCUACAUCAGACAGAAAUCGCACAUGUAACAUAUCCUUUGUGCAUUCAUAACAGCAUUGUUUCUUCAGGACUAUGGUCAGAUCAUGAGCAGCAAAUGCGCUACCAGCAGUAAAAGAAAAUAAAAGAAUGAAAACUUCCAGCCAAGCAUUGUUUAAAUUAUGAAAGAUAUAAUGAAGAGUUGCCAGCAAAGCACCAAAUCUUAGACAGUGUAUCGAGUCCACGGCAGUGACAGGUUUAAUAUUAUGAAAGAAAUCACUUUUUCUGGGAUUUGGGGUGUUAUUUUGUGUCUCUGGUGCUUCCACAUGCAUACAAACUUGGAGAAAAAAAAAACAUCCAUGCUGUUUUGAGUGAGAUACAGGUUUCUGAAUGUAUCCUGCCUUCAGUCUCCGGGGGACUGGCCAAAAUCGGCUGGACCGUCUACGUCAUCGGCCGAAACAUUUGUGCACAGUGCAGGUGAAGCUGGAGUUGGGCCACAGAGCCCAGCUAAGGAAGAAGGUGACAUCAGAAGGCUUCACCCACGACUGGAUGGUGUUUGUCCGAGGGCCAGAGACCGGCGACAUCCAGCACUUUGUAGAGAAGGUUGUCUUCUGCCUGCAUGACAGCUUCCCCAUAUCCAAGAGAGUAUGCAAGGAGCCUCCAUAUAAAGUAGAGGAGACAGGCAACACAGGCAUUCUCAUGCAUAUCGAGGUCCACUUCAAGAACAAGGAGCUGCCAAAAAAGAUGUGUUUUAAGUACCAGCUUAACCUAGAGGGUGACCACCUGCGCUGUGAGAUGCUCACCUUCAACAACCCCAACAAAGACUUCAGGAGAAAGCUGAUCAAAGCUGGAGCGGUUAUGGUAUUUCCAAAGGGCACUGAGGCAGCAACAAGGUCCAGUCCAGACUCCUCUAUACCCCCAACUAAGAAGAUCAAGACCUCCCAUGUGUCCGAGGAACCCAGCAAAGAAUGAAGUAAUGGCAUCAGUCAAUCUGCACAAGCCGACCAAGGAGCAUCGUGAUUGGCCCUGAAAAGACUCUGAGAGCAAAGCAGACGACAGAGGUGGAAGCAGCAAGAAAUGUUAAUUCUAUAAGGCUGCCACCCACUGCUCCCCAUGUGCCCAAAGAGAGCACUCUCUUGUUUUCAGCUGUGAUCCGUCUUGCAGGCAAGAUCCAUCAUCCAUAAUUUGUCGCAAACAUCCAAUGUGUUUGACUCACUUAAGACACAGUUGUGUAGCAGGGUGGAGACUACAGGUGUGUAUUCUGACUAUUUGAGUGUAGCCUGUCCUGACGUAAACCAGUCAUGUCUGCAGAUUGUAAAGCUGUGAUUUUGUAUGAAGUAUGAAAUUCAAGGUCUUCAUUUUUCAAUUAUAUGUUUAGGUACAAUUAUGAUGAAGUAAUAGGGCUCCAAAGAGGAGGUAAAACUGUUCUCACCUCCAUUUUCCAUUGGGAAGUGGACAAAACACAAUCAUAAUUUUUUUGUUUUGUGACUUUUCUGAAAACCAUAUCAGAUUGUCAAAGUCAAAGCACCUGACCUUGAACUGUAUCAUUUUUAAUGCUGUCAGUUUCACGCGUUAUUAACGGCGUUAAGGCAAACCCAUUUUAACGCCGUACUUUUUUUAUUGUGAGAUUAACGUUCUUUUUAGCCUAGCAAACUUUGUAGUUUUUUUAAC